rnacentral:lncRNA from 1 species
GACAAGAUGAAUUCUUUUGUUUUCAAUGAAUCUUCAAGGUGAACUGAUAUACAUCGAAUAUAAUUUAAUUAGGUGGGUAACCAAACUGACUAAUUUUUUUAAUCAAUAUAUUUGAUACAAUCCUAUGAUAUUUAAUAUUUUAUAUACGAAUUAAUAUAUGGAACCAUUGCUCUUUCUUUAGAAGUACCGAGUACGAAAUAUAUCACAAAAAUUACUGCCAUCAUUAUCAUAAGAACUCAUUAUUCGUUGUGAUAAACUAUGAUAUGAAAAUUCACAAAAAGUUACAGUCAUGAGGUUAUUUUAUGAGAAAAAUAUCGACUUUUAUCACCGAUUUUCAGCUGAUUAUUAAUAUUUUGAAUUAAUAUCUGAUGUAAAUAUAUACUGUAAUUGCUAUAUUUAAACGUGAUCUAUAUGUACUGUUGUCAGUCUAAUCUUGAAUAAACAUAAUACACUGUGCAGACAAAUUGCCCAUUUCAGUAGUUUAUUUGAAUGUAUGUAGACAAUGAAACUGUUUUCUAUUCAGCCAUAAACAAUAGUAAGAAUGAUUACUUAAUUAUAAUGUCAUUGGAAUGAUAAUCCUCCUAAAAUCUUACCUAAACUUUUUAAAACUACACUUAAAUAGCUAAUCUAAUUAAUUAUAUUAUACUUGUAAUUUUAUUAUACAGGGUGUCCCAAAAAACCCGAAAACUAUUGAAAUCACUUAUUGUCAAAAUUUGAAUGCUUUACCAAAAAGCUGAACGUAAUGAUGCAUAAAAUAUUGACAAGAUGCAUGUAUUAGAAUCAUAGUUAAGAACAUCUCCUUGGAAAGUGCACGAUUUUCUGUGCUUGGGAAUUUAAAGCAAAUUUAAAGAACAGUUUCUUUAUGCAUAAAAUUUACUUAUGUCAAUCAUUUAUGCACUCGUGGGAACCAACAGAGUGCUAAGGCAUUCAAAUUCUAACAAUUAAAUUGUUAUUGGUGAUUUCAAUAGUUAUUGGUUUUUUGGGGACACCUGUAUAAUUGUAGUAUGUGUAUUGUGUUUCUCUUUCACCAUUCUCUUUCACCAUGCAAUAUAAUGGACCAGUCAUUAAUAAUGGGUGGGAGAGGUGGGUGAGAAAAGGGAGAUGGCCUUAUGUACUAGGGGAAGAUUUACUUAAAGUAUUUUCAUAAGAGA